GAAAUGCGAUAAGUAAUGUGAAUUGCAGAAUUCAGUGAAUCAUCGAAUCUUUGAACGCACAUUGCGCCCGCUAGUACUCUAGCGGGCAUGCCUGUUCGAGCGUCAUUUCAACCCUCAAGCCCUGCUUGGUGUUGGGGCCCUACGGCUGCCGUAGGCCCUGAAAAGAAGUGGCGGGCUCGCUACAACUCCGAGCGUAGUAGAAUACUAUCUCGCUAGGGAGGCGUGGCGCGCUCCGGCCGUUAAAGACCCCAUCUUUAACCCAAGGUUGACCUCGGAUCAGGUAGGAAUACCCGCUGAACUUAA
rnacentral:misc_RNA from 1 species